GCAUGGCUGUCGUCAGCUCGUGCCGUGAGGUGUUGGGUUAAGUCCCGCAACGAGCGCAACCCUUGUCAUUAAUUGCCAUCAUUCAGUUGGGCACUUUAAUGAAACUGCCGGUGACAAACCGGAGGAAGGUGGGGAUGACGUCAAGUCCUCAUGGCCCUUAUGGGUAGGGCUUCACACGUAAUACAAUGGCGCGUACAGAGGGUUGCCAACCCGCGAGGGGGAGCUAAUCUCAGAAAGCGCGUCGUAGUCCGGAUCGGAGUCUGCAACUCGACUCCGUGAAGUCGGAAUCGCUAGUAAUCGCGGAUCAGCAUGUCGCGGUGAAUACGUUCCCGGGUCUUGUACACACCGCCCGUCACACCAUGGGAGUGGGUUUCACCAGAAGCAGGUAGUCUAACCGCAAGGAGGGCGCUUGCCACGGUGAGAUUCAUGACUGGGGUGAAGUCGUAACAAGGUA
rnacentral:rRNA from 1 species